AGUGUUCUUUUAAACGUUUGAAAUAUAAUCGAUUAUACAUGGUUGAUAAUCGAUUAUGUUAGCACAGUAUCUUAAACUGAUUUUUGAACGUUAACGUAUAAUCGAUUAUACAGUCCACAUAAUCGAUUAUUCUCCCUAAAAUCAGGAGAUUGUUUUUUGAACGUUGGUCAAAUAAUCGAUUAUACAGACCAUAUAAUCGAUUAUCUGGGCACAAAAUCAGCAUAAUUAAUUAUCAAUUAAGCAACGGUCAUGCACCCUUUUUCACCUAUAAAAAGAGGUCUUUUGAGCUGAU
rnacentral:lncRNA from 1 species